rnacentral:rRNA from 1 species
AUCGGCCACAUUGGAACUGAGACACGGUCCAAACUCCUACGGGAGGCAGCAGGGGGGAAUAUUGCACAAUGGGCGAAAGCCUGAUGCAGCAACGCCGCGUGAGUGAUGAAGGCCUUCGGGUCGUAAAGCUCUGUCCUCAAGGAAGAUAAUGACGGUACUUGAGGAGGAAGCCCCGGCUAACUACGUGCCAGCAGCCGCGGUAAGACGUAGGGGGCUAGCGUUAUCCGGAUUUACUGGGCGUAAAGGGUGCGUAGGCGGUCUUUCAAGUCAGGAGUGAAAGGCUACGGCUCAACCGUAGUAAGCUCUUGAAACUGGGAGACUUGAGUGCAGGAGAGGAGAGUGGAAUUCCUAGUGUAGCGGUGAAAUGCGUAGAUAUUAGGAGGAACACCAGUUGCGAAGGCGGCUCUCUGGAC